UGACUAUCUCUGGAGAUUAGAGUUUCUCUUCCCUUCUUGGUGGUGGUGGGGGAAACACCUUCACACAGGGAAAUUUAUGCCCUGCUUUUAGGCAGACAAGGGCAGAGCAGACAGCUCUUCCUGCAUCUGUUGAUUCUUGGUUGCCUUCAACUCAAAGUAAUCCUUACACCAAAGCAACAUAUUCUGAUCCCCUUCAACGGAAAGUGCUGAGCACCAGCUGUGGUCCCAUUUUCUGCCUAGGCUUUUCUACAAACAAGAUUUUUCACACUUCAAACAUAUUUGAUCCACCCUGACAGCUCACUCAAGUCUGUCCUCUCCCCUGAACCCCUCUGCCAUUGUCCUGGUUCUGAUUCGUCUAACGUAGACUGCCCUCUGUCCAGCUCCCAUCCACCCUCCCAGAUUGUACACCAGAGAAGAUGCAGAGCCCUUCAUGGACUUCCUACUGCCUUCAGGGUGAUGAUGAUGGAAGAAACACGCGUCUUAAAAAUGAAAUGAAGUGAAAUCAAAGAAAAUGGUGUGUCUUGGUUCUCAACCCGAGUCGUUGAAUCAUGAGAAGUCACUGGAUUUCAUUGAAUGCCGCAUUCUAAUGACACGGGAUUCCUGGUACCCAUCCUAAAGGCGGUAUUCUAGUCAUUCUCUUUCUUGAACAAUUUUGGAAAUUUUGAUUCUUCUCCUUUAAGAUGUUCCUUUCCAUCCAUUAUCUUGUGGUAGCACUCACCUAAGAACUAAAUGUUGAGUUGGGAGAUGGUAAUUAUAGGCCGCGUCUUAUUCUCCUGCUUUAACUUGACCUUUUUCUUGAUGAAGUGUUUUCUCCCCUUGAGUCCUGGCAUUUUGAUGCCACCUAGGCAAACUAUUUUGGGUUGUGCCUUGCUACGGAGCUUCUCAUAGGAAGGGUUUCAAUGUGAAAAGUCAAUCUGUCAUUUCUUUUUUAAGUUAACGUUUUUGCUGAUUUAAACAAGUUCUGCCCAACUUUCUAGACAAAGGCACAGAACAUAUGUAUAUGUUACGUGGCAGAUGACAAGUGCUCCCAGAGAAUGUAAAUAUUUUAGGCUCUAGAUUUAUCUCUACCUUGUCUGACUUUCCAUUAACUGACUGAGAGUCACAGCGAUCUGCCUACAGAAGAUAUAUUAUUCUUUGCUCAAGUUGGGAUUUAUAGUGGCUGACAUACAUUUAGGGAAACAUUUGUGUGUGGUAGGAAGAGAGAACGAUCUAUCAAGUUUUCUCAUAGAUCUUUGAUAAAAGAUUUUUCCUCGUUUCAUUGUCCUUAAAGAAUUGUCGAUGCCGUGGUUUGUAGUUUUCCAAGACACAUCUUUAAGUUGAUGAAAUAAUUCCACUUGCACUUGUCUUUUAUGCCUAAAAAAUAAUUGUCAGUGCUUGUGGAAUGCCCGUGUUUCACAUUUCUAAUUAGAUUAUCGAGGAUGCUCAAUUUUCCAGUCUGUGUUUUCUUUUUGUUUGUUUUGUUUUGAGGGAUGGAGGUCAGCAGGGCAAAGAAAACCACUUCUCUGAGAUUAUUAGAAAAUAAGGAAUUUAGAGCAAACAGCUCCAGAAAGAUUUAAACAGAUCCCUUUUCAAAACUUAUAGUCUGUAGGUCUGCAGGAAAAAGAGGUCCAAGAAGGGAAAAUAGUCAGAUUCAUUUCUCAGGAAGAACAUGUUUGGGUGCCUCCUGAAUUUAUGAUUUUAGGGUAAUUUGGUACCAUCAUAAUUGCAACACCAUCAGAUUUGUUCCUACAUAGUAAUACUCCAGGUGAGCUCAGCAAGAUUUACAGAUGUUUGCUGAUUCCUACAGCAUCCAGAACAACUAUUGAGUCCCUCAUCCCUAAAUGCUUAACGAGCCCUGUCUAGGAGCAAGACACUAUGGCACAACGCAGGAGACACUUUUAGAUUAAUCCUAGUUAGUCCUAGUUAAGAUCUAGUUAAGAGAGUUGAGCACUACCCUUACAAUAUUUAUUAUACUCUUCAAAUAUCCAGUAUAUUUUUGCAAAUCCCGAAUAAGUGAAACUCGAACUCAGCUUACUGUGAUUCCUCACUCUGUACCACAAUGUCAUCACAAGCGAUGUUGUGAUCCUCCUAACUUGACAGCACCUUUGCACAUAAUAGCCACUCAAUAAAUAUUUGUUCAUGUCAGGCUGACUGGGUGUAGGUAUAAAACAAGUAACACCUACCCCCGCCCCCACUGCCCCGCACAAUUGAUUGGAUUAUGGGGGGCUUCUUACCACUUUCUUCUAAUGCACUCUCGGUAGAUAUCAAAUGAAAUGGGCCCAAACCCUGCCCCCAAAUCCACGUUUAUAGCUUUGAGCAGAUUGACUUUCACUCUUUAAGUGUGUGAGCACAAAACAGUUAAACAGCAGAACCCAGAGAGACAGAAAGCAGACAAACUUAACCACAGCAGCUGCUACUGAAGGGCAA
ensembl:lncRNA